rnacentral:rRNA from 1 species
AACGAACGCUGGCGGCAGGCUUAACACAUGCAAGUCGAACGCCCCGCAAGGGACGUGGCAGACGGGUGAGUAACACGUGGGAACGUGCCCUAAGGUUCGGAAUAUUCCCGGGAAACUGGGAGCAAUACCGAAUGUGACCGCAAGGUGAAAGAUUUAUCGCCUUAGGAUCGGCCCGCGUCGGAUUAGCUAGUUGGUGGGGUAAAA